rnacentral:rRNA from 1 species
UACAGAGGUGGCAAGCGUUGUUCGGAUUUACUGGGCGUAAAGGGCGCGUAGGCGGGAUGGCAAGUCGGUCGUGAAAUCCCUCGGCUCAACCGAGGAGCGUCGGCCGAUACUGCCGUUCUUGAGGGAUGCAGAGGAGACUGGAAUUCAUGGUGUAGCAGUGAAAUGCGUAGAUAUCAUGAGGAAGACCAGUGGCGAAGGCGGAUCUCUGGACAGUUCCUGACACUGAGGCACGAAGGCCAGGGGAGCAAACGGG